rnacentral:lncRNA from 1 species
CGCCCUUGCCUUGGGAAGAUGAAUCCUACCCACCAAUGAUGGGAGUGGAGCAAGAAGAUGAAUAAAACUGAGGCUCUGCUGACUUUGCCUGAGGCCAUUCAAACCCAGUGAAGCAUCACCCUCGGCAGUGCUACCUGUGCUGUGGCAGACCUCUGCGUCCCACGGUGCUCUGGAAGCCAGCCCAGCCACUCGGAGAUGGAGCUGUGCCUCCAGAAUCACAGACAGGAGCACCAGGAUGGCUUUGACUUGCAGAAGCACUG